rnacentral:lncRNA from 1 species
GGAAAAGCUAACUUAGUUGUUUCUUGGCUUCCACAUUAGGGACAGAGAUAAACUUUAAGUAUCAUGGUUACGUAGACCAUGGGUCUGUGUGCUUGUAUGUACACCCAUUUAGGCAUGUGUACCAACCAGGGUUUCCAACUAGGAAUGUCAGUUAGAUACUUCAUUAGUGGUUUUUAGAUCUGUAUGUAUAUUCACAAAGCCACCUGAUUUUUGGAAAGUAUUGACCAUUUCUAUUGCAAAAUGUGACCUUGGGAAUCUGACAGAUGUUGCCUAUCUGACUAGGGAACCAGUUUUGAAACAUUUUAAAAUAUCAAGGCAGAAAGCUCUAACUAAAUUAAUGAGAAUCAGCAUCAAUUUGUAUUGAUAAUG